AAACAUCUUCUUUUGUUAUUUAUUUUAGAUUUGGCCUGCCCAAUGAUUUAUUUAAUGGCUGCGGUAUUUUGACCGUACAAAGGUAGCAUAAUCAUUAGUUUAUUAAUUGUAAACUUGUAUGAAUGGUUUAACGAAAUAUUGACUGUCUCAUAUUUAAUAUUAUAAUUUAAAUUUUUAGUUAAAAUGCUAAAAUAUUUUUAUAGGACGAGAAGACCCUAUAGAUCUUUAUAAUUUAUUAGUUUUUUUUAUUUAGUUUAUUUUUUAUAAAAUUGUUUUAUUUUUUUGUUGGGGUGACAUGAAGAUAUAAUUAACUCUUUAUAUUUAUAUUCAAUUAUUUUUGUUUAUUUGACCUUUUAUUAAUGUUAUAAGAUAUAGAUACCUUAGGGAUAACAGCGUAAUUCUUUUUGAGAGUUCAUAUCGACAAGAGAGAUUGCGACCUCGAUGUUGGAUUAAGAUUAUAUUUAGGUGUAGUUGCUUAAUUAUUAAGUCUGUUCGACUUUUAAAUUCUUACAUGAUCUGA
rnacentral:rRNA from 1 species